UACGUAGGGUGCGAGCGUUGUCCGGAAUUAUUGGGCGUAAAGAGCUCGUAGGCGGUGUGUCACGUCGGCCGUGAAAACCUGCAGCUUAACUGUGGGCGUGCGGUCGAUACGGGCAUCACUGGAGUUCGGCAGGGGAGACUGGAAUUCCUGGUGUAGCGGUGAAAUGCGCAGAUAUCAGGAGGAACACCAGUGGCGAAGGCGGUUGCCUGGGGCUUUGCUGACGCUGAUGCGCGAAAGCGUGGGGAGCGAGCCGG
rnacentral:rRNA from 1 species